AAACAAUUUAACAGGACACAAAAACAUCUACUGUCUAAGAACACAUGGAUUGAUUUGAGUGUCUGACGUCAGAAAAAUUAUAUACGUCACAUAAAUUUGUCGUUCAAUGUGAAUACAAACAAUUUUAAAAUUUUCAUAGGCAAUGUACGCAUACAGGGUUAAAAAAUCAAAAGUAUGUAAGAAUAAAUUACAGAAAUAGACCGAG
rnacentral:lncRNA from 1 species